GUGCCAGCAGCCGCGGUAAGACAGAGGCCCCGAGCGUUAAUCGGAAUUACUGGGCUUAAAGGGUGCGUAGGCUGAUCCGAAAGUGCUCCGUGAAAUCCCCCGGCUCAACCGGGGAACAGCGAGGCAUACUGCGGAUCUUGAGGCAGGUAGGCGCCGAGGGAACAGUAGGUGGAGCGGUGAAAUGCGUAGAUAUCUACUGGAACGCCGAUGGUGAAGACGCUCGGCUGGGCCUGUCCUGACGCUGAGGCACGAAAGCGUGGGGAGCAAACAGGAUUAGAAACCCCCGUAGUCC
rnacentral:rRNA from 1 species